UACGGAAGGCAGCAGUGGGGAAUAUUGCACAAUGGGCGCAAGCCUGAUGCAGCCAUGCCGCGUGUAUGAAGAAGGCCUUCGGGUUGUAAAGUACUUUCAGCGGGGAGGAAGGCGGUGGAGUUAAUAGCUUCACCGAUUGACGUUACCCGCAGAAGAAGCACCGGCUAACUCCGUGCCAGCAGCCGCGGUAAUACGGAGGGUGCAAGCGUUAAUCGGAAUUACUGGGCGUAAAGCGCACGCAGGCGGUCUGUCAAGUCGGAUGUGAAAUCCCCGGGCUUAACCUGGGAACUGCAUUCGAAACUGGCAGGCUAGAGUCUUGUAGAGGGGGUAGAAUUCCAGGUGUAGCGGUGAAAUGCGUAGAGAUCUGGAGGAAUACCGGUGGCGAAGGCGGCCCCUGGACAAAGACUGACGCUCAGGUGCGAAAGCGUGGGGAGCAAACAGGAUUAGAUACC
rnacentral:rRNA from 1 species